rnacentral:rRNA from 1 species
GAUGAACGCUAGCGGCAGGCCUAAUACAUGCAAGUCGAACGGGUGGUCGCAAGACCCCUAGUGGCGCACGGGUGCGUACCGCGUAACCAACCUGCCCCGAUCUGGGGGAUAGCCCGCCGAAAGGCGGAUUAAUACCGCAUAUACCCGCAGCCUGGCAUCAGGCAACGGGGAAAGAUUUAUUGGAUCGGGAUGGGGUUGCGUGACAUUAGGUAGUGGGCGGGGUAAGGGCCCACCAAGGCGACGAUGUCUAGGGGACCUGAGAGGGUGAUCCCCCACACUGGCACUGGGAUACGGGCCAGACGCGUACGAGAGGCAGCAGUAGGGAGUAUUGGGGAGUGGGCGAGAGCCUGACCCAGCCAUGCCGCGUGCCGGAUGAAGGCCUUCUGGGGUGUAAACGGCUUUUCUCAAGGAAGAAAAAGACCUUGCGAGGUACACUGACGGUACCUGAGGAAUAAGCACCGGCUAACUCCGUG